GAACUACCGUAUGUAGAAACGCAACAGCAUACAGUAAAGGUGGCCACUGUGACUGCGUACUGUAAUCCAACGUGUCCUGCGUUACGCCUUGAAUUGGAUAUUUAUAUACUUGGAUCAGAUAGAAAUGUGGGGUAAUGGACAAAUAUAAACUGGAAAUAUUAACAGCAAAAUACAUAUUGAAAUAUCUGGAAAAUAAGACAUAAUUUUCUUUAUCAACAUUUGAACAAAAUUUGCCCAAGUAUCUCUAUCUAAUCUAAUUAUAAAUAACGUGUUUUUAAAUAUUUUAUAAAAUGACAAUUACGUUUCUUUACCUGCGUAAAAGAAUCUGUAAAACAUUGACCAAACACUUCUUGCUCCAAAGGUGUUCGACUUUUCAACCAAGCAGUCACCACAGGACUCCAGUCCAAUCCUGAUGAACUCAUGUACACCAUUCCAUUACGAGAUACCGUAGCUGGACUUGCAUUGUCGACAUUAUGAGGCUCAAAGAUGAUUUUACAAUUAGAUGACAUCGAUAAUCGGUCACCGUUCGCAAGAGUCAGAGUUUUAUUGUCGUCCAGUACAGAGUUUAAGUUCUCGAUCCAGAUACUGUCAACAGGUCCGUCAAGCACCAUCCAUACGUACUCUCCUUCUUUUAAUUUCAAUGUUUUGCGCCAUAAAGCUGAAAAUAUUCCAUCCGUCCAAUCGUUGGUCGCCACGUCCAAUCGGCCAAACAUUUGAGCAGCUGUUAUACUUUUUGGGUUCAUUCUCAUCUCUCUGUAAAAUACGUUCCUGAUCAUUGACCGAGUUAAAUCAUUUUAAGUUAUAUUAUUUGGUGAAAAAACAAUUUUUAAUGAUGAAUAAUUUUUAAGAAUGAAUUUUUAUGUUGCCAUAUAAAUUAUUCGAAAAAUAUUUUUCAGUGUAAUUACCUAUGGGAAUUGCCGCACUGCGUUAAAGCUUUCAUCAAAAUAUGUAUACAAGUGGUUUUUCCUGCACCGGUCGGACCUAGGGUCAUUAUUCCAUGUCUUACUCUUUGUGUUUCGUAUAGCUGUAUUAAUUUUAGCACCCACGGUGGAUGGUAUAUCAAUCCAGCCUCUUCUACUUGUUGACUAAUAGCAGCUUCCAACUCUGGAUAAGAAGUCUUUUCAAGAGCUUGAUUUGGAAACAGAUCAGCCACCAAUGAUAUAAAUAAUGGUUCUAAUAGUAGAUAUUCUUAGUAUAGUAAUAAGUAUAAUUAUGUACCUAUGAGUUUCGAAAGAUUCAUAUCUCUUAAAACACGCAUAACGAUCGUACUUUCAGAAUCUUUGGAGUUUACCCUUUUCGACGCGCCUAAUGUUCUUAACACGGACAAUAUGUUUCUUAGACCAAAGUCGUAAUGGACCUUCAUAAAUGAACAGGAUGUUUAUUGAAAGUACAAUUUAGUUAUUGUGUUUUUAAAUAAAUUACCUGUUUUGUAA